GACGUAGGGCGCGAGCGUUGUCCGGAUUUAUUGGGCGUAAAGAGCUCGUAGGCGGCGUGUCGCGUCGGGAGUGAAAGACCGGGGCUUAACCCCGGUUCUGCUUCCGGUACGGGCAUGCUGGAGUGUGGCAGGGGAGACUGGAAUUCCUGGUGUAGCGGUGGAAUGCGUAGAUAUCAGGAGGAACACCGGUGGUGUAGACGGGUCUCUGGGCCGAUACUGACGCUGAGGAGCGAAAGCAUGGGUAGCGAACAGG
rnacentral:rRNA from 1 species